GAGGUCAUAUGGAUUGCUUGGAAUUUCAGGGCAUUGCAGGGAGGAUGGUGAACUAGGGGAACAGAGCUGGUGACUGUGGAACGGACUGGAAGACAAUUUUGAAAGUUGAUGUUCAUGCCCCAAACUUGGAGGACAAGUGAAAUUAUUUUUAUAAAGAAGAAGAUGAUAUAAUCACUCUACCUAACAUCUCUACCUGGACAAAAACUGAAGUUUAAUUUUCAAGAUAUAGAUAACCCUCUGUUGACACUCUACUGCAUUCUAGAAUGCCCUACUGGUCUCCUCAGCCCUGACUUCAUUUGGGACCUUUCUUCUCAGAAUAACAGUAAACAGCAAUUACAUUUUACAACAUUGUGAAGUUGAUCAGUUCACUCAAAUGUGGUGACAGCUGGAUAGCAGUCACAAUUUCCCUUCCUUUUCACUCCUCCCACGUGCCGGGAAGCCAAGGCCAGGAAGGACAGGUGAGACCAGGCUUCGGGGGUCUGGACCAGCUCCAGGAAGCAAGCCUCCAGCCCAGCUGUCAUCUGUGGGAAGUGGCUCUUGGUUGAGCAGUGGUACUUUCCAGUGUCAGCACUGUGUCAGCAGCCCAGACUCCGCUCUGAGGGGCCCCACGUCCUCAGCCAUCUUUCAUCUCGGGAAAAUUCUCUGGUCUAAAGAGCUUAGUCUCAGUGGGGAGGGAGGAUGGGGCCUCAGUGAAGCAGAUGGUUGGGUACUUGAACAGCGAUCUCGUACGGAAAGGAGACUCUGAGAAGUGACAAAUGGGAGGUAAUUGGGUUGGAACUCAUUUUUGUUCUUAUAACUCUGACAGAAACCUGACAUGGCUUGCACUGUGAUCUCUUAAUAAAAGGUCAUUACCA